GACGAACGCUGGCGGCGUGCUUAACACAUGCAAGUCGAGCGGUAAGGCCCCUUCGGGGGUACACGAGCGGCGAACGGGUGAGUAACACGUGAGCAAUCUGCCCUUCGCACGGGGAUAACUUCGGGAAACCGGAGCUAAUACCCGAUACGACCACCUCGGGCAUCCGACGGUGGUGGAAAGCUCCGGCGGUGAAGGAUGAGCUCGCGGCCUAUCAGCUUGUUGGUGGGGUAACGGCCCACCAAGGCAACGACGGGUAGCCGGCCUGAGAGGGUGACCGGCCACACUGGGACUGAGACACGGCCCAGACUCCUACGGGAGGCAGCAGUGGGGAAUAUUGGACAAUGGGCGAAAGCCUGAUCCAGCAACGCCCCGUGAGGGAUGACGGCCUUCGGGUUGUAAACCUCUUUCAGCAGGGACGAAGCGCAAGUGACGGUACCUGCAGAAGAAGCACCGGCCAACUACGUGCCAGCCGCCGCCGUAA
rnacentral:rRNA from 1 species